rnacentral:tRNA from 1 species
GGGGAUGUAGCUCAGUUGGCUAGAGCACCUGCUUUGCAAGCAGGGGGUCGUGGGUUCGAUUCCCAUCAUCUCCA